UAGUCUGGUAAAUGUUUCAUAAGCUCCUCAUCAGUUUGAACAUUCAGACGUGGAGUAAAUGUAAAGUUUUGAUCAUCUAACAAGAGCUGAUAUUCGAGUGCUAUAAUAAUAUCCUGUUAGCUUGAAAUUAUUUCUAAAUCCCUUAAAGCACUUACUCCCUCUCCUUCCAGUGUUUUUACAGUUGAAACGAUAUCCAUCCUCGUCCUCUAUACAGUCUGCAACUUCUAAUCCGAAAAGCUCCUUUAUAAGUAUAUUAAUU